CUGAUUCGUUGUUUUAUCUUUUAUUAAUUCUUUGGCAUGCAGGAAAUGAACAAAUUCUGAUUAAAUGUUUUUGAAAAAAAAGGAACAGUUUUAAUAUGGAACGACUCCGAAAAACUAUUCGCACAGGGA